rnacentral:rRNA from 1 species
UACGUAGGGGCAAGCGUUGUCCGGAAUAAUUGGGCGUAAAGGGCGCGUAGGCGGCAAGGCAAGUCAGCAGUGGAAGUCCCAUUUUCAAGGUGGGGAGGGCUGUUGAAACUGCGUUGCUUGAGUGCAGGAGAGGUUAUCGGAAUUCCCGGUGUAGCGGUGAAAUGCGUAGAGAUCGGGAGGAACACCAGUGGCGAAGGCGGGUAACUGGACUGCAACUGACGCUGAGGCGCGAAAGUGUGGGGAGCAAACAGGAUUAUAUACCCUGGUAGUCCCU